CAAUAGCGUAUAUUAAAGUUGUUGCAGUUAAAAAGCUCGUAGUUGGAUUUCUGUUUGGAGCGAUCGGUCCGGUUCUUACGAGCCGUGUACUUUGUGUUGUCUCUGAACAUCUUUGAGGAGAGCGCGCUUGUCAUUAAGUUGGUGGGCGUGGGAUCCUCAUCGUUUACUGUGAAAAAAUUAGAGUGUUUAAAGCAGGCAUUUGCAUUGAAUACAUUAGCAUGGAAUAAUAAGAUAGGACUUUGGCUCUAUUUUGUUGGUUUGCAAGCCAGGGUAAUGAUUAACAGGGACAGUUGGGGGUAUUCGUAUUUAAUUGUCAGAGGUGAAAUUCUUGGAUUUAUGAAAGACGAACUACUGCGAAAGCAUUUACCAAGGAUGUUUUCAUUAAUCAAGAACGAAAGUGAAGGGAUCGAAGACGAUCAGAUACCGU
rnacentral:rRNA from 1 species